rnacentral:rRNA from 1 species
UACGUAGGGUCCGAGCGUUGUCCGGAAUUACUGGGCGUAAAGAGCUCGUAGGUGGUUUGUCGCGUUGUUCGUGAAAACUCACAGCUUAACUGUGGGCGUGCGGGCGAUACGGGCAGACUAGAGUACUGCAGGGGAGACUGGAAUUCCUGGUGUAGCGGUGGAAUGCGCAGAUAUCAGGAGGAACACCGGUGGCGAAGGCGGGUCUCUGGGACGUGACUGACGCUGAGACGCGAAAGCGUGGGGAGCAAACAGG